rnacentral:rRNA from 1 species
GAUGAACGCUAGCGGCAGGCCUAAUACAUGCAAGUCGAACGGGAUCCAGAUCAAAGCUUGCUUUGGUCUGGUGAGAGUGGCGCACGGGUGCGUAACGCGUGAGCAACCUACCCUUGUCAGGGGGAUAGCCCGGCGAAAGUCGGAUUAAUACCGCAUGACAUCAUUGAGAGGCAUCUUUCGAUGAUCAAAGAUUUAUCGGACAAGGAUGGGCUCGCGUGACAUUAGCUAGUUGGUAAGGUAACGGCUUACCAAGGCUGCGAUGUCUAGGGGCUCUGAGAGGAGAAUCCCCCACACUGGUACUGAGACACGGACCAGACUCCUACGGGAGGCAGUAGUAAGGAAUAUUGGUCAAUGGACGGAAGUCUGAACCAGCCAUGCCGCGUGCAGGAGGACGGCCCUAUGGGUUGUAAACUGCUUUUAUACGGGAACAAACGUCGGUACGUGUACCGGUCUGAGUGUACCGUAAGAAUAAGGAUCGGCUAACUCCGUG